rnacentral:rRNA from 1 species
GACGUAGGGUGCGAGCGUUGUCCGGAAUUAUUGGGCGUAAAGAGCUCGUAGGCGGUGUGUCACGUCGUUCGUGAAAACCUGCAGCUUAACUGUGGGCGUGCGGUCGAUACGGGCAUCACUGGAGUUCGGCAGGGGAGACUGGAAUUCCUGGUGUAGCGGUGAAAUGCGCAGAUAUCAGGAGGAACACCGGUGGCGAAGGCGGGUCUCUGGGCCGAUACUGACGCUGAGGAGCGAAAGCGUGGGGAGCGAACAGG